rnacentral:lncRNA from 1 species
GCUCUCUGUAAAAUGGACCAGUCAGCUCUCCGUAACAUGGACAAUCAGCAGGAUGUGGGUGGGGCCAGAUAAGGGAAGCAGGCCUCCGAAGCCAGCAGUGGCAACCCACUUGGGUCCCUUUCAAUGCUGUGGAAGCGUUGUUCUUUCACUCUUCUCAAUAAAUCUUGCUGCUGCUCACUCUUUGGGUCUGCCCCGCUGUUAUGAGCUGUAACACUCACAGCCAGUGUCUGCAGUUUCACUCCUGAAGCCAGCAAGACCACAAACCCACAGGGCGGGACAAACAACUCCGGACAGGAGGAAUGAACAACUCUGGACGCGCCACUUCUAUGAACUUUUAUGAACUGUAACACUCACCGCAAAGGUCUGCAGCUUCACCCCUGAGGCCAGGGAGACCACGAACCCACCGGAAGGAAUGAACAACUCCAGACGCACUGCCUUUAAGAGCUGUAACACUUACCACGGAUGUCUGCAGCUUCACUCCUGAAGUCAGCGAGACCACAAACCCAACAGAAGGAAGAAACUCCCGACACAUCUGAACAUCUGAAGGAACAAACUCUGGACACACCAUCUUUAAGAACUGUAACACUCACCGUGAGGGUCAACCGCUUCAUUCUUGAAGUCAGCCAGACCAAGAACCCACCAAUUCCGUCUAUCUGAAUCAUGUUAUUGGACCAUGAGAGCAAGCAGCUGGAUCUCAUUCUGUCCAGGCUAUUGCUAAGGCAGGCUGGCUGCCUUCAUCUUCCCCAGUAUUCUAGGAUAACCUCAAAGAAAUCACAACAGCUUGUUUUCUACAAUUAAAACAUUUGGGUUUUGAUAGUGUGCAUGGUCUACAAAGAAGUGAGAAGUGUAGCUGUUUGUAUGGAAUCUUAUGGUGAACAUUGCUGGCUCCAACAUAU